rnacentral:rRNA from 1 species
AGAAUCAACGCUGGCGGCGUGCCUAACACAUGCAAGUCGCACGAGAAAGGGGAGCAAUCCCUGAGUACAGUGGCGCACGGGUGAGUAACACGUGAAUAAUCUACCUCCGAGUGGGGAAUAACUGAGAGAAAUCUUAGCUAAUACCGCAUAACACUUACGAGUCAAAGCAGCAAUGCGCUUGGAGAGGAGUUCGCGGCAGAUUAGUUAGUUGGCGGGGUAAUGGCCCACCAAGACGAUGAUCUGUAUCCGGCCUGAGAGGGCGCACGGACACACUGGAACUGAAACACGGUCCAGACUCCUACGGGAGGCAGCAGUGGGGAAUUUUGUGCAAUGGGGGAAACCCUGACGCAGCAACGCCGCGUGGAGGAUGAAGCCCCUUGGGGUGUAAACUCCUUUCGAUCGGGAAGAUAAUGACGGUACCGAUAUAAGAAGCCCCGGCUAACUUCGCGCCAGCAGCCGC